UACGAAGGGGGCGAGCGUUGUUCGGAGUUACUGGGCGUAAAGGGCGCGUAGGCGGCGAUCCAAGUUAGGCGUGAAAGCCCCGGGCUUAACCUGGGAAUUGCGCUUAAGACUGGACUGCUUGAGUGCGGGAGAGGUGAGUGGAAUUCCCAGUGUAGAGGUGAAAUUCGUAGAGAUCGGGAGGAACAUCCGUGGCGAAGGCGACUACCUGGACCAGCACUGACACUGAGGCACGAAAGCGUGGGGAGCAAACAGG
rnacentral:rRNA from 1 species